rnacentral:lncRNA from 1 species
CUUCUGACAAGAAGAUAAAUCGAUUUUUUUCUCUUUGCCAUUGAUGUCUACUACACAACUUGUUUUUGUAGACUCGUGCUGGGACUCCAAGCAUAGAGUUUUUUAGGACAGUGACAAAUUUCCUUUAAGUGGAUGACCUAAGGUUUAUCUAUCGUGGGAGGCGUAAGAUGAAGAUGGUUUCUCUCAGACAACCCUGCAACCAAAUAAUAAAAAGUCUCUUGUGUAGGUGCACUAGUUCGGCGAAGAGAUGGUGAUACAAAUGUAGUAUUGAUGGUAGACAUUGAUUUUUCUAAUCUGAAAAUAUAAAAACAGCAAGAUAGCAAGUAACAAAAGUGAUCAUAAUUGGUAUUGCAAUACUUAAAAAUGAGGCCUAGGAUCCGUACUUUCGCUAGUGCAAUCUUUCAACAAUGCUAAUAUAAUUGGAUCACGUAACCAACCCUCACCGUGAAACGAAGAAUCAUUCCAAAGUUCUUAUCUAGCGGAGAACAUAAGAAAAAAUUAUUUGUAGGGUACGAAACCACCUUAAAUUUUUCCUUUUCGAUCGAUCUAUCCAAGAGUCCGUACUAACAUAACACCAAGUUAUCCUUUCUGAUCGAUCUAUUCGAGAGUUCGCACUAAAAUAACACCAUAUGAUAUGCAUCAACCAACUUUAAUGUCAUACUCCCAUGUCACUACAAGUAUCCAUGAGUUAAUUAUAUCAUACACAUGAAAUAAUUUCAAAUUCAUAAUACUCAAUCCAACACAAAUAACCACAAAGAGCGCCCCAAGAUUUCUAUCGGAGAAAGUGGGACGAAAACGUGCAUCAACUCGUAUGCAUAGAUUACCCCAAUGUCAACUCGGGAGUCCGCGAGUUGAGUACCAAAACAUAUAUCAAGUGAAUCAAUAUAAUAUCCCAUUGUCACCACGGGUAUUCAUAUGAAAGACAUAUAUCAAGUGCUCUCAAAUCCAUAAAAAAAUUCGAUCCGAUAAUAACAAAAAUCUCAAAGGGAAAACUCAAUUCAUCACAACAAGAUAGAGAGGGGAAAACACCAUAUGAUCCAGCUAUAUUAACAAAGCCCAUGAUACAUCAAGAUCAUGCCAUCUCAAGAACACGAGAGAGAGAGAUUGAACACAUAGCUACUGGUAUAAACCGUCAGCCCCAAGGGUGGACUACUCCCUCCUCGUCAUGGCCUCCGUUGGGAUGCUAAGGAUUGCCACCGAAGAUGAUCUCCCGCUCCGGCAAGGUGCCGUAACGGGGUCUAGAUUGAUUUGUCGUGGCUACAGAGGCUUGCGGCGGCGGAACUUAUGAUCUAGGGAUAUUUUUGGAGGUUUCUGUAUUUAUAGGAUUUUUGGGCGUCGGUUCCACGCGAAGAUGCGCCACGAGGAGAGCACAAGACACCAGGGCGUGCCUGGGGCCUGUGGCCUGCCCUGGUGUGUUGUGCCCACCUCGUGGAUCUUCUACGCCUCCAACAAAGCUUCUAGUGCCUAUUCUAUUCCAAAAAAUCAUUAAAAAGAUUCAUUGCAUUUGGAGAACUUUGAUUUCUGCACAAAAAACAACACCACGGGCUAGCAAUCAAAGCACAUUUUUUGAACAAAUGGCAUCCAUCAAACACAUAGAAAGAUACGGGCUAAAUGUUUCGCCUCCCAACAUACUUAUCAUAAAAAUAAUUGUCAACAAUAAUGAAUCAUGAUCAAAUAUAUUUGACUGGCCAUAUGUGCCUAGAUCUUUCCCCAACACAUGGUGCUUGCCAACUAAUAUAUUGAGGUUGAACUAAGAAGUUGACUCAACAUGAAAAGUAAAUAACACGAAAGUAAAUAGAUUAUCCCUUCACAGAGGGAAGCAGGGAUUUGCAUAUGUGCCAGAGCUCAUUGUUUAAAAUAGAAUAUAAUUUUGAAAGGUGCACCCUUCCCGUCAACGUUACAACCAGGAGUUAUCGAUAUCUUCCAUGUUAAACACAUUAGCGGCGGUUCCCAAGCGAUAAAUGUAAAGGUUUACUCCCCCUCCACCAACAAACACACUCCACGGCUAGCCGAAUCCACGAAUACCAUCCAUACACCAACAUUCCUGGGGGAGUUUUGUUUAAUUAUUUGCAUUUUUUUAUUUCGGGACCGGGAAUCCCUAUUACCGGCCCUCGUGUGCAAGAACGAGUGAAUAAACACUCAUCAUGAGAAUAACCCGCUUAACAUGGAAGAUACUGACCACCCCCUAUCGCUCCAUGAGUGGUCCACACACACAAAAAAGAUGUUCAUUUGAAUUUUUAGAGGUGGCACAUGCAAAUUUACUUGGAACGGCGGGGUAAUACCCCAUAUAGGUAGAUAUAGUGGAUUCUCAUGGCACGAAACUGGGUUUAAGGGUUUUUGGAUGCUCAAGUAGUAUCUCUACUUAGUACGAAUUUUUGGCUAGCAAAAGAUCCUAAGCAAACACCACAUGUUGGAGGAUCCAUAACAAUAUAACUUCUAUGCAAAUAUACACAACCAUAAUUCAUUAUGUUGUCUUCCUUGUCCAACUUCAACUAAUUUUCUCAAGUUAGAAAAUAAUUAAUGGGUAUUCACAAUCAUAGAAUAUUUCCAAUAUAAUAUAUUUGUAUGUGAAAGUUCUCUUCCUUAUACUAUUCGUUCAUGAAUUGCUUGUAUGACCAAUAUUGUGAUUGUCAAACUUCAAUAGAUUUUACUUUAUAAACCGGAUGUGAAGCUACUAUUAAGCAUAAAGCAGAUUAAUAAUUUUAUGUUUAUGAUAUUUCAUUGAUUCACAAUUUACUCGUAGAUAUAAGUGAAGCUCAAGAGGAAACAUCAAACUACUCUUCAAAAGAUAUAAAUGAAGAUCAAUGAGUAGGUAAACAAUCAAGUAGCUAUGUGAGGACUCUCUCUCUCUCUCUCUCUCUCAAUAAAGAUUUUCAUAUCUGAGUAUUUUAUUCAAACAAGAAACUAAACCAAAAUAGAACUCCAAGAAUAGAUCGCAUCAUGUGGACAAAUAAAAAUUUAGGCUCGACAUAGGCUAACCGAUAGUUGUUUGAUGAAGAAAGGUGGGAUGCAUAGCAUCCACAAGCUUAGAUGCUUGACACUUCUUAAAAUAUUUUCUUGGGGUUCCUUGAGCAUCCCCAAGCUUGAGAUUUCGUGUCUCCUUAAUUCCUCUCAUAUCAUGGUUUCUCUUAAGUCUCAAAAACUUCAUCCACACAAAACUUGAAAAGAACUCGUGAGAUAGGUUAGUACACAUAAAAGUAAAUUAACACUUCAUGUAUUGCCAACACAAAUUGCAUAUAAUUUUCAAACAUUAGGUAUUGUAUACUACCAUUUCCACAAUUUAUAUCUACCAAUAUAAACUAUGGAAUCUAUAGGAUAAGUAUAUAACAAAACUAUGACACUAAUCUAUCCAACAGAACAGUCUGUAGCAAUUAAUUCCAAAAAUGUACUUAUGUAACUCAAAAACUUCUGAACAUUUAGGACAUGAUAAAUAAUUUGUAUUACAGUACUGUGUAAAAAUUUCAAAAACUUUCCUCGUUCUAGUAAAAUAUGAUAAUUCAAAUACUACAACAAAAAAUUCUGUUUUUAUACAUCACACAUCACACAUGCAAUUCAAGCAUUCUAAAGGCAAUUAUUCGAACUUUUUAUUGAAAAACAAAAUUAUAAAUAACAUAUAACAAAGAACAACAAAAUAAAAUGAUGCUCCAAGCAAAACACAUAUCACGUGAUGAAUAAAAAUAUAGAUAUACCGAUAAUGUUGGAGACGAAAGAGGGGAUGUCUUACGGGGCAUCCCCAAGCUUAGGCGCUUGAGUCUCCCUUGGAUAUUAUCUUGAGGUUUACUUGGGCAUCCCCAAGCUUAGGUUCUUUCUGCUCCUUAUUCUCCUUGUAUUGAUAUCUCACCCAAAACUUGAAAACGUCAAUCACACAAAACUUAACGGGACUUCGUGAGAUGGGUUAGUAUGAUAGAUAUAGAUCAUUCACUUAGGUACUGUCAAGACAAGAUUCACAAUUGUUUUCACAUAAUGCCUAUUAUGUUCUAUCAUCACCAUAAUUUAUAUCACUCAAUGUAAGUUAUGAAACACUAAACAGAAUAAUACUAUGCACGCAAAACAGAAUCUGUCAAAAAUAGAAUAGUCUGUGAAGAUCUGCAUUAAAACGAUACUUCUGUGACACUAUAAAUUUUUAGAAAUUAAGAUAGUGCAGAGAAUUUGCAUAACAAAACUGUGUAAAAAUUUCAAAAUGUUUUGACUCCCCGGUAAAAUCAUAGAAAUUCUACACUGGACAUAAAAGUUUCUCUUUUUUCACAGAUUCAAACAAGCAAGUAUCCACACUAUCCCAAAGGCUUUACUUGGCACUUUAUUGAAAUAAACACUAUAAAACAUGAUUAAUAUAGUAGCUUAAUCAUGUGAGCACUCAAAAACAUAACGGAUAAAUAUUGGUUUGUCUCCCAAUAAGCGCUUUUCUUUAAUGUGUUUUAACUAGGCAUGAUGAUUUCAACGAUGCUCGUAUAGGAAUAAUAGUUGAAACAUGCAAGAGAGCAUCAUGAAUCAUUUUCACGAAAAACAUGAUUAAUAUAGUAGCUUAAUCAUGUGAGCACUCAAUCAUGUGUUUUAAGCGUUUUCAUAAUUUCUUCCACUAGCAAUUGAGCACAAUUUUCAGUUCCAUCGUUUUCACGAAAAACAUGAUAAAGAUGAACAAUAUAAAGUCUCUUGUGUCCCCAACACAUCAAAUACAAUGAUAAAUUGUAUAGGUGCACUACUUCGGCGAAGAGACGGUGAUACAAGUGUAGUAAUGAUAUUAAAUUUUUUUUUAAUAUGAAAAUAUAAAAACCACAAGGUAGCAAGUAACAAAAGUGAUCAUAAACAGUAUUGCAAUGCUUGAAAAUGAGGCCUAGGGUCCGUACUUUCACUAGUGCAAUCUCUCAACAAUACUAAUAUAAUUGGAUCACAUAACCAUCCCUCAACGUGCAACAAAGAAUCACACCAUAGUUCUUAUCUAGCCAAGAACAUAAGAAGAAAUUGUUUGUAGGGUAAGAAACCACCUUAAAGUUAUCAUUUCGGAUGGAUCUAUCCAAGAGUUUGUACUAAAAUAACACCAACUUAUCCUUUCCGAUCGAUCCAUUCAAGAGUUCAUACUAAAAUAACACCAUAUGAUACACAUCAACCAACUCUAGUGUCAUACUCAAAUGUCACCACAAGUAUCCAUGAGUUAGUUAUACGAUACACAUCAAACAAUUUCAGAUUCAUAAUACUCAAUCCAACACAAUCAACCUCAAAGAGUUCCCCAAGAUUUCUACCGGAGAAAGUAGGAUGAAAACAUGCAUGAACCUGUAUGCAUAGAUUACCCCAAUAUCACCUCGGGAAUCCACGACUUGCGUACCAAAACAUAUAUCAAGUGAAUCAAUAUAAUACCCCAUUGCCAUCACGAUUAUUCAUAUGAAAGACAUAUAUCAAGUGCUCUCAAAUCCAUAAAAUUUUUCGAUCUAAUAGUAAUGAAAUCUCAAAGGGAAAACUCAAUUCAUCACAACAAGAUAGAGAUGGGAAAACACCAUAUGAUCCAACUAUAUUAACAAAGCCCAUGAUACAUCAAGAUCGUGCCAUCUCAAGAACAUUAGAGAGAUAGAGAGAGAGAGAGAUUGAACACAUAGCUACUGGUACAAACCGUCAGCCCCGAGGGUGGACUACUCCCUCCUUGUCAUGGCCUCCGCCGGGAUGAUGAAUAUGGCCACCAGAGAUGAUCUUCCCCUCCGGCAAGGUGCUGGAACAGGGUCUAGAUUGGUUUUUCGUGGCUACAGAGGUUGGAGGCGGCAAAACUUCUGAUCUAACGACAAGAGCCAUAGCGCCCGUGGCCCGCUCGCGCUCGUUGACAGAAAUCUCCUAGAGGAGGAGGCGGGACCGUGCCUAGAGGAAGGUGGGGAAGGAUUGCUGCAUCGAGAGCAGCAUCGCCAUGACAUGGAAGAGGCGACUCUGGCCACAGAUCUGCUGCAGCGUGAGUGACCGGUCCGAGACCGGCUCACCCACGCCGACCAUGGCGGAGGCGAGCUGCUGGAGCCGACGGAAGUACUGGGUGAUCGUCAUGUCGCCUUGGAUCGUGGUGCAGAAGUCGACGCCGAUGUAGAUGGUGCGGCCGACAACGUUGUCGCGAAAGAAGAUCUCGAGCUGCUCCCAGAGACGAAAGGUGGUGCUGUCCGGCGAGUGGAUGGUGUUGUAGAGCUCAUCAAAGAUCGUCUCGUACACCCACACGACGAUCGUCAUGUCGUCGUUGCGCGAUAGGUCGGGUAGGCAUGCAACGGGUCCACCUCCUCCACGACGUGGUCCUCGACCUGGUACUUGCACAGGAUGUACCAAAGGAGCUGGCGCCACUUCGAGUAGUUCUCGGAGUUGAUGGAGAGCUUGAACAGGAUGUACGACGCGAUGUUAGCGUGAUGCAUGAGUGGAGCAGGAGUAAGAGGAACCUGGGGCGGGGCAAGGGCCAGGAAGUCGACAUGGGGUCGCACGGCGCACAGCGAGGGCGCCACAGCCAAACGCAGCACGCGGGCGUUGGGUGACAAAGGCGUCGCGACGACGGGUGCCGGAGGGGAGAGCGCCGGGACGAUGGUCGUCGUGGGGUUGGGGGCGACUUCCUGCAGGAUGAAGACGGCGUCGGCAUCCUCGAAUGAACGAGUUUGGCGGAGAGAGCGCCGGAUACUCAUGGCGGAAGCUGGAGAGGAUUGAGUAAAGCUGAUACCAAGUUAGAUGAAUGAACUCAUAGUAUAUUCAUUGAUGUACAUCACAACUUCUUAUAUAGCAGGUUACACGAGGAUUGGGGAGCUAUCGUUACAACGGAACUGGGAUAGCAACGGGGAGCGAGUCUAUGUGGGCGAGGCCUACGCAAGCGGGAGCGUGGGCACCGUGGGACUCGGUCCCUUUUGUUGCACGUGCGGGUGAGGGUGCAUGUCACGUUUCCAACAGCCACCAGCGAAGGCGACGCGGAUGGGGAUGCCAACGCGGCAUGAUGCCUACCCACUGAUGGAGCCGCAUGAUUGCACGAUCUGCCACGGCUACCAGUCAUGCUCGCCGACCACAUCACCACACGAUGCAGGCAGUAGAGAUGCUGGUGUGGUCGUUGAAUCGAAAUGGCCCGUGUGCCAUGGUCGAUGAGCCCGUCACCAACACCGGAGCAUCACAGAAGUAAUUGGAGGGACGCGGGAGAGAGGGCUCGGUCGUGGUGAUCGCGGGGAGAUGGGUCACCUCGGUGGCUUGGGAGGGAUGGAGAAGGUCGGCGAGGAUGUGCGGUUGCGGUUUCCCUUUUCUGCGGAAUCGCUCGCAAGGGUGAGGACUAUAGGUUGGUUUUUCCUUUGUAUUUGCCGCUGGUUUAGUGGAUUGGAUUGUGCGAUCGAAGGAUAUCGGUUUUGAGGGAAAAAAACAGGCCCGAGGAGAAGGUAUCGUGAGGAGAGGUGGUCGAACCAUCACGACAAUGUUCGAUCCCUCUUUAAUAGUAGAGAUUUCUGGCAGCAGCUGAAUUGGAGGAAGAAAACAAAGUGGAUACACUAUUUAUUGCAACUUUAGCCAUUUGAAGGCUUCGAGGCGUCUAUCUGUCACAUUUAAGUUUGCAAACUGCUGGCUAUACCGAAGGAAGAAGAUUUAGUGAUUAUCAAAAUCUACAUAGGCAUGUAAAGAAUAUCAACCAAUGUAACAUACGCAUUUUUAUUGUUAUGUAGUGCAAGAAAUGUGUAAAUGUGGUACAUACAAAUGUAUUUAUAGAUUGUACUAACUCUUCCUUUUUUGACUUGGAAAUAUCUUUUCAGUGUCGGAAUCACCGUUUCGUGCACUAAUAAUUCAUACUUGCAUCCUUUCCACUUUAGUACAUCAUUUGCUACCACAUAUUAAUACAGUUGAUCUUUUUCUUGCAAAUUAUUUGCUUAAAAUUUCCGCUGCAACGCGCAUGAUAUCUUCUAUUUCCUCUGUAUCUAACUAGCAAAAAGGGCUCGUGCGAUGCACCGGGUUGCUCGAAAUCGCAUCUUGGAUCUGCCGAUAUAUCCAUGAUUUCCCCCGACAUACCCCUGCUUUGUGCCUUUAGAGCUACUCCUCUAGCAUGUUCAACGUUUUGCAAUGGUUUCCUCUAAAGUCCAAAACCCACAUACUUUCAGUCUUAAUGAAUUGGUAAUGGAAGCUAGGAUCCACUCAUGCAUUGUUCCCUGGAUGCCCACACUUCAAUUACAAUUGUACAUGACGAUGAACCAUGUUAGAUUCAGUUACGAUCAAUUGGUUCUUCUUUUCUAUUUAGCUGCCUAUCCUAGUUAGGAGAUAUUGAGAUGGCAGCAAGCUGCAUUCUAGAGGUUCAAAAGUGUUACAGAGUUAGAAGUGAAAGAAAAUAUUGAACACAACAAUUCCUUACGUCCAGACUUUCCACUAAUUAAGUAGAUUAAAGGAAACAAUCAGGACAUGCUAAAUGUUGUAUGCUUUAUCAAGAUCGAAUCAAAGAUGUAAGAGGCGCAAUCUGAUAUGUCUGAUUGUGUAACGAAGUCUGCAAAAAACAAUUACUUGAGAGGUGCCCUCAAUCAGCAAAAAAGUAUGUCAAAUACGUACCAUUUUUUAGAAGACAAUCAGUUCCGUGUUGGGGCUGUUUUGCUGGAUUUAGCUCCGUGUGGGGGCGUCGAAGAGCAGAGGGCCCCGAAUCUUGAGCCGAUGGAGGGCCUAGUUGGGGGAUCUGCCGUCGAUGCGGCAUCCAGACGGGCUAGGCCAUCUCAAGAUAACACAGAGAGAUGGGAAGAAGCAGGGAGACGGGGCAGCCGGAUCUUGAGUCCCUGAAGGCCAGGACGGAAGGGGAGGUAGCGGAGAGAUGAAUCAACCGCACAUUGAGAGUUGAGACGUGGGGAUGCACAUCCGUCAUUGUUUAUAGCCGACGUCACCUAGAGGUCGGGCGGGCAUCCAUUGGCCUUGGUAGCCGGAGGAGAGUGGGUUAGGGGACAGGGACGAGACGGGGAGGACUAAGGGCACGACGUCGGAUCCUUGGUUGUAGAUCGGUGCCGGCAGCCCAUGCCGUCGCGGUGCAGGAGGGAGACGACAAAUGGGGACAGGCAUCGCUGGGGAGACGAACAGGGAAGAAGCACCGCGGGUUGAAUAUUCUAGAAG